rnacentral:misc_RNA from 1 species
GAUGAAGAACGUAGUGAAAUGCGAUAAGUAAUGUGAAUUGCAGAAUUCAGUGAAUCAUCGAGUCUUUGAACGCACAUUGCGCCCCCUGGUAUUCCGGGGGGCAUGCCUGUCCGAGCGUCAUUGCUGCCCUCAAGCACGGCUUGUGUGUUGGGCCCCCGUCCCCGGUUUCCCCCGGGGACGGGCCCGAAAGGCAGCGGCGGCACCGCGUCCGGUCCUCGAGCGUAUGGGGCUUUGUCACCCGCUCUGUAGGCCCGGCCGGCGCCAGCCGACACCCAACUUUAUUUCUAAGGUUGACCUCGGAUCAGGUAGGGAUACCCGCUGAACUUAAGCAUAUCAAAAGCGGAGGA